rnacentral:rRNA from 1 species
UACGUAGGGCGCGAGCGUUGUCCGGAAUUAUUGGGCGUAAAGAGCUCGUAGGCGGUUUGUCGCGUCGGUUGUGAAAACCCAAGGCUCAACCUUGGGCCUGCAAUCGAUACGGGCAGACUAGAGUACUGCAGGGGAGACUGGAAUUCCUGGUGUAGCGGUGGAAUGCGCAGAUAUCAGGAGGAACACCGGUGGCGAAGGCGGGGUCUCUGGGCAGUAACUGACGCUGGAGGAGCGAAAGCGUGGGGAGCGAACAGG